rnacentral:rRNA from 1 species
GAUGAACGCUAGCGGCAGGCCUAAUACAUGCAAGUCGAACGAGAUUAAGAGGCUUGCUUCUUAUGAAAGUGGCGCACGGGUGCGUAACGCGUAUGCAACCUACCUUAAUCAGGGGGAUAGCCCGAAGAAAUUCGGAUUAAGACCGCAUAAAAACACAGGAUAGCAUUAUCCAAUGUUCAAAUAUUUAUAGGAUUAAGAUGGGCAUGCGUGUCAUUAGCUAGUUGGCGGGGUAACGGCCCACCAAGGCGACGAUGACUAGGGGAUCUGAGAGGAUGACCCCCCACACUGGUACUGAGACACGGACCAGACUCCUACGGGAGGCAGCAGUAAGAAUAUUGGUCAAUGGAGGGAACUCUGAACCAGCCAUGCCGCGUGCAGGAAGACAGCCCUCUGGGUCGUAAACUGCUUUUAGUCGGGAAUAAACCUUUCUACGUGUAGGAAGCUGAAUGUACCGAAGGAAUAAGGAUCGGCUAACUCCGUG